UACGGAGGGUGCAAGCGUUAUCCGGAUUCACUGGGUUUAAAGGGUGCGUAGGUGGGCUAGUAAGUCCGUGGUGAAAUCUCCAAGCUUAACUUGGAAACUGCCGUGGAUACUAUUAGUCUUGAAUCUCGUGGAGGUAAGCGGAAUAUGUCAUGUAGCGGUGAAAUGCUUAGAUAUGACAUAGAACACCGAUUGCGUAGGCAGCUCACUAAACUGUAACUGACGCUGAGGCACGAAAGCGUGGGGAGCAAACAGG
rnacentral:rRNA from 1 species